AGUUCGAUCAUGGCUCAGAUUGAACGCUGGCGGGAUGCUUUACAUGCAAGUCGAACGGCAGCACGGACUUCGGUCUGGUGGCGAGUGGCGAACGGGUGGUAUGUAUCGGAACGUGCCUAGUAGCGGGGGAUAACUACGCGAAAGCGUAGCUAAUACCACAUACGCCCUUCAGGGGAAAGCGGGGGACCGCUUCGGGCCUCGCACUAUUAAAACGGCCGAUAUCGGAUUAGCUAGUUGGUGGGGUAACGGCUCGCAAGGCGACGAUCCGUAGCUGGUUUUGAAGGAGACGACCAGCCACGCUGGGACUGAGACACAGCCCAGACUCCUACGGGAGGCAGCAGUGGGGAAUUUUGGACAAUGGAAACCUGAUCCAGCCAUCCCGCGUGUGCGAUGAAGGCCUUCGGGUUGUAAAGCACUUUUUGGCAGGAAAGAAACGGCACGGGAUAAUACCCCGUGCAGCGACUGAUACCUGCCAAAAAGUGCUGGCAGGCACUCUCUGAAAUAUUUUUGGAUCAGGUCUCCCCAUUAAAAUUCCCGCAGCACUUCCCGUAGGAGUCUGGGCCAUCUCAGUCUGAUAGACCGGCUUACGGAUUUUGUGAGCUUUAUAACAACUAAUCCGAUAUCGGCCACAUCUAUGUGCCCCAGGCCAGAAGGUGUAAUGCGGUAUUAGCGCUCGCGUCGAUUAUCCCGCUACUAAGAACCGGCCAUUACUCGCCCGUUCGCCAUGCGCCAUAGUUCCGAGUCCGUAUAGCUGCCGUUCGACCUUUGCGUGUGUAAGCAUCCGCUCAGCGUGCAUGAUCAACUAUUU
rnacentral:misc_RNA from 1 species